rnacentral:rRNA from 1 species
UACGAAGGGGGCUAGCGUUGUUCGGAAUUACUGGGCGUAAAGCGCACGUAGGCGGGUUGUUAAGUCAGGGGUGAAAUCCUGGAGCUCAACGUCCAGAACUGCCUUUGAUACUGGCAACCUAGAGACUGGAAGAGGUUAGUGGAAUUCCCAGUGUAGAGGUGAAAUUCGUAGAUAUUGGGAAGAACACCAGUGGCGAAGGCGGCUAACUGGUCCAGUACUGACGCUGAGGUGCGAAAGCGUGGGGAGCAAACAGG